rnacentral:rRNA from 1 species
GUCGAGCGAACAGACGAGGAGCUUGCUUCUCUGACGUUAGCGGCGGACGGGUGAGUAACACGUGGAUAACCUACCUAUAAGACUGGGAUAACUUCGGGAAACCGGAGCUAAUACCGGAUAAUAUAUUGAACCGCAUGGUUCAAUAGUGAAAGACGGUUUUGCUGUCACUUAUAGAUGGAUCCGCGCCGCAUUAGCUAGUUGGUAAGGUAACGGCUUACCAAGGCAACGAUGCGUAGCCGACCUGAGAGGGUGAUCGGCCACACUGGAACUGAGACACGGUCCAGGCUCCUACGGGAGGCAGCAGUAGGGAAUCUUCCGCAAUGGGCGAAAGCCUGACGGAGCAACGCCGCGUGAGUGAUGAAGGUCUUCGGAUCGUAAAACUCUGUUAUUAGGGAAGAACAAAUGUGUAAGUAACU